rnacentral:rRNA from 1 species
AUUAGACGAAUCAUCUGGAAAGAUGAAUCAAAGAAGGUAAUAAUCCUGUAGUCGAAAAUGUUGUCUCUCUUGAGUGGAUCCUGAGUACGACGGAGCACGUGAAAUUCCGUCGGAAUCUGGGAGGACCAUCUCCUAAGGCUAAAUACUCUCUAGUGACCGAUAGUGAACCAGUACCGUGAGGGAAAGGUGAAAAGCACCCCGGAAGGGGAGUGAAAUAGAACCUGAAACCGUGUGCUUACAAGUAGUCAGAGCCCGUUAAUGGGUGAUGGCGUGCCUUUUGUAGAAUGAACCGGCGAGUUACGAUUUGAUGCAAGGUUAAGCAGUAAAUGUGGAGCCGUAGCGAAAGCGAGUCUGAAUAGGGCGUUUAGUAUUUGGUCGUAGACCCGAAACCAGGUGAUCUACCCUUGGUCAGGUUGAAGUUCAGGUAACACUGAAUGGAGGACCGAACCGACUUACGUUGAAAAGUGAGCGGAUGAACUGAGGGUAGCGGAGAAAUUCCAAUCGAACCUGGAGAUAGCUGGUUCUCUCCGAAAUAGCUUUAGGGCUAGCCUCAAGUGAUGAUUAUUGGAGGUAGAGCACUGUUUGGACGAGGGGCCCCUCUCGGGUUACCGAAUUCAGACAAACUCCGAAUGCCAAUUAAUUUAACUUGGGAGUCAGAACAUGGGUGAUAAGGUCCGUGUUCGAAAGGGAAACAGCCCAGACCACCAGCUAAGGUCCCAAAAUAUAUGUUAAGUGGAAAAGGAUGUGGCGUUGCCCAGACAACUAGGAUGUUGGCUUAGAAGCAGCCAUCAUUUAAAGAGUGCGUAAUAGCUCACUAGUCGAGUGACACUGCGCCGAAAAUGUACCGGGGCUAAACAUAUUACC